CACCCGUUCCCAUCCCGAACACGGAAGUUAAGCUCUUCAGCGCCGAUGGUACUGCAUGGGCGACUGUGUGGGAGAGUAGGGCGCUGCCGAAA
rnacentral:rRNA from 1 species